rnacentral:lncRNA from 1 species
GUUCCCGUUCGCAGCCCUUCACCCUCGUGGGUGUUCCGUUCAGCCCAUUCACCCCUCUCGGGUGUUCCGUUCAGCCCUUCACCCCUCAGGGUGUUCCGUUCAGCAGCCCUUCACCCCAGGGUGUUCCGUUCAGCCCUCACCCCUCAGGGUGUUCCGUUCAGCCCUUCACCCCUCAGGGGUGUUUUCCGUUCAGCCCUUCACCCUCAGGGUGUUCCUUCAGCCCUCACCCUCAGGGUGUUCCGUUCAGCCCUUCACCCCCAGGGUGUUCCGUUCAGCCCUUCCACCCCUCAGGGUGGUUCCGUUUCAGCCCUUCUUCACCCCUCAGGGUUUUCGUUCAGCCCUUCACCCCUCAGGGUGUUUGUUCACCCCUCAGGGGUGUUCUGUUAACCCCUCAGGGUGUUCUGUUCACCCUCAGGUGUUUCUGUUCAGCCCUUCACCCCUCAGGGUGUUUCGUUCACCCCUCAGGGUGUUCUGUUCAGCCAUUCACCCCUCAGGGUGUUCUGUUCACCCCUCAGGGUGUUCUGUUCACCCCUCAGGGUGUUCUGUUCAGCCCUUCACCCCUCAGGGUGUUCGUUCACCCCCUCGGGGUGUUCGUUCAGCAUUCACCACCCCUCAGGGUGUUCGUUCAGCA